UCAACUUCAGUCAGUAUCCAAAAGGCCCAUAAAUACUUCAUAUUUAGUGAUGGCGACCAAACGGUCUAUUGUUUAGGGUUUUAGAGAAACCCUGCAGCUCCAGUUCUCCUUUUGCAAUGGCGUUUUGGGGAGUUGAAUUGAAGCCUGGUAAACCAUUCACUCAUAACUUUGAAAGAGAGCGUGGAAGACUUCAUGUAUCUCAG